UUCCUUGUGUUAAGGUGCAUCUAGUGCAGUUAGUGAAGUAGCUUAGAAUCUACUGCCCUAAAUGCUCCUUCUGGCACGAGGU
rnacentral:pre_miRNA from 1 species